rnacentral:lncRNA from 1 species
ACCGGAUCUAUUUAGGUCAAAAUCCAUCCACAGUGAAUCUGUCAUCCAUCUCAGAUCGUACAUGCCAAACAUUUUCAAUAUCCUUUUCUAUUCUCAAGAGUGGUGUGGGAAAAGAUAAAAUGUAAACGACAAAAUACAGAUCAAUUCAAAUCCUAUUACUACGAUCCAACCCGCUAACAUUAAUAACUCGUUAAGUCAAAACUAUCGAACCAAAAUUCUCAGGUCCAAUUAUCAACAUUAAAGUCUGUGAUCUUUAUAUUUUCUACCAACAUAGACUUUUCUGUUCAGACUAUGCAAUUUUCAUCAAAUCUCAUUCUAUAACCAAAGAUCACCUCACGAUGUAAGAGGCUAUUUCACCCAUCUGGCUAAUAGAUCAGCUUUGAUAGCAAAUAUAACGAUCUGUUCACUAACACUAAUAAUUCGUUGGAUUUAAACUACUCUAAUCCUUAUAUUCUCAACCAUAAUCUAUUUCUAAUAUAAUGCACGACUAUUAUUA